rnacentral:rRNA from 1 species
AGAGUUUGAUCCUGGCUCAGAUUGAACGCUGGCGGCAUGCUUUACACAUGCAAGUCGAACGGCAGCACGGGCUUCAGCCUGGUGGCGAGUGGCGAACGGGUGAGUAAUGCGUCGGAACGCGCCGAGUAGUGGGGGAUAACGCAGCGAAAGCUGUGCUAAUACCGCAUACGUACUGAGGUAGAAAGUGGGGGACCUUCGGGCCUCACGCUAUUCGAGCGGCCGACGUCUGAUUAGCUAGUUGGUGGGGUAAAGGCUCACCAAGGCGACGAUCAGUAGCGGGUCUGAGAGGAUGAUCCGCCACACUGGGACUGAGACACGGCCCAGACUCCUACGGGAGGCAGCAGUGGGGAAUUUUGGACAAUGGGCGCAAGCCUGAUCCAGCCAUGCCGCGUGUCUGAAGAAGGCCUUCGGGUUGUAAAGGACUUUUGUCCGGGAGCAAAGCCUACUUGUUA